UAAAGGUAUAUUGAUGGUAGAAAUUUGUAAACAUCGCUGCUACAAACAUAGGAAUAUCCAUAUAUAUUCAUAAGAUGCAUUAAUAUUUUUAGUUUGCAAAUCAUACCAACUAAAGCCUCGAAGUCUCACUGAGGAAACCGGCGCAGAAGUUGGUCCCUCUAGCUCAGUGAAGCCUCGGAGCCCCUCGACGAAUGUGACCUCCGUGUUCAAGGUUCUAGUCUCCCCAUUCGUGUGCCGGCUGCUGUGUAACUCGUGACCCCCUCCCAGACGACAGGCUGAGUCCGGGUUGAGCUGAGGCCAAGCAGAUUAGAGAUUCCUUGUGGACGAUCCAAGUGGCCGCGGUAAAGAACAGAUCAUUGCCGCCACACACCAAGCCGUGACGACUGAUUCAGCACCACCAAGGAUCUAGACUCCUCCCGCACCAGCAAGCACCGGAAGAAUGGUGAGAUGUUGAAGGGAGAGUGCCUGGAGGAGCCAAGCAGACCAGCCACGGCCUCCCUCCAUCAGCCGUGUGCCUUCCAGAGCCACUCCAGCAGCUUCCGUCCCAUGAGAGGCCUUUACUAGCAACAGCAACAGCUCCAACGGACGCAUUGUCUCGCAUUGUGUGCACAGGAGGUCUCCGUGCUGCCUGCUGGAGGGCUUCAACAACUGAUGGAGGACAGGGGCUACACCUUCUUGGAGAGUUGCUACUACACCCAUCCAGAGUCCACCGAGCAUCACAACUGAAAGAAACAAGAGUGGUCCAACUUCUUUGACACCAUGAAGAACUUUAACACUAAACUUAUAAAUGAAAGACCACGAAGGCAGGCGCUUCCCUUCACCGUGAGCCGUGCAUGAAAGUCAAACACAGGAGGAAUCCAAUUUGAAGCUGUUUCUAUACUUGAGUUAUGUAAGAGGUGCAUGUGACGUGUCAGGAUGGGUGAGUAUUGGAGCAAGAGUAGGAAGUAGCAUGAUUGAGUGUGCUGAGAGGGAGACGCUUCUGCCACAGCCACCCCCUGGAGGGAAGUUCCCACGUAAGGCGUAAGGCCUGCAUAUGUAUAUUGAAUUGCUUUAAUUAGACCCAAGAACUAUUUUCAUCGACCUGUCCAACCCCGUAAGGGAAAAUACGGGCGUUCACCAAAGAAGAGACAUCCAAGACCUAUAAUACUAAUGAUAUAAAAUAUACUUAUGAUCUUUUAGUUAUACGAGAGUUCUUGGCAGGGUCUGCAAGUAACCUAGCAAUACUGUACACAGUAUAUCUAGAGCCUUAGCAUCACAAACACUUCAGAAAUUUUGAUGUAGAAUAAAUCAAUGUUUUUCUAUUGGUGAUUGCAAGCUGAAGUUGGACCACUCUGGCUUGAACCAUGAAGAUAUAAUUUUUACUGCCCUUUUGUCCCCUGUGAUAUGUAUUGGAAAUUUGUUGCAAUAAAUGAGCAGACAAUA